GCAUUAAUGGGGUAGUGGUAACCUGGGUCGUUGCCAUUUCGGAUUACGUAAGCUAAAUUCGACCCGCCGGGGGUUCGAUUCCCUCUUAAUGCA